CCUGAACGCUGGCGGCGUGGCUAAGACAUGCAAGUCGCACGGAUGUAGCAAUACAUCAGUGGCGAACGGGUGAGUAAUGAAUCGCUAAUGUACCCCGGACUCUGGGAUAGCUAGCCGAAAGGUUAGGUAAUACCAGAUGAUAUACCUUUAUCGCAUGAUAGAGGUCUCAAAGGUCCGCCGGUCUGGGAGCAGGCGAUUUCGUAUCAGCUAGNGGUGAGGUAACGGCUCACCAAGGCGACGACGCGUAGCCGGACUGAGAGGUUGGCCGGCCACAUUGGGGACUGAGACACUGCCCAGACUCCUACGGGGGGCUNCAGUAACGAAUCUUCCGCAAUGCACGAAAGUGUGACGGAGCGACGCCGCGUGUGGGACGAA
rnacentral:rRNA from 1 species